CUCGGGUUCUACUUUUCAGUAAACACUUUGUGGUGGCCACAGAAUAGCCUAAUGCAUGGUCUGGUCUAUUUGUAAUGUUAGAAGCCAUUAAUGAUCAUUGCAUAAUGAUCACUUCUGUUGUUCAGCAAGAAGUUGCUAAGUGUCAUUCUUCUUGUUCCUUCUUCACUUACAAGCUGCAAUAUUACAAAAGGAGCCUUCUUUCAUCAGCUGUUUGGUGACUGAGGCACUGUCCCUACAGAAAGCCCAGCACCACUGCCUGCUAUCUGUGUGCCCAUGGGCAAGUUGCUCAGCACUCCUUUUCCAGCUAUCUGUGGGGAAGUUCGCUGCUGGAAGGAGAUUAUGCAUGUCAAGCUCCUGACAGUAACUUGCAUUAUGCUAUUAUAUCCCUUAUGGAAUGAGAGAGGAAGGCAUGGAGUCCAGGAAUAAAUGACA
rnacentral:lncRNA from 1 species